AUUGAACGCUGGCGGCAGGCCUAACACAUGCAAGUCGAACGAGUGGCGGACGGGUGAGUAACGCGUGGUAACCUGCCUCAUAGCGGGGGAUAACUACUGGAAACGGUAGCUAAUACCGCAUACCAUCGGAUGUGCCCAGAUGGGAUUUGCUAGUAGGGGGGGUAAUGGCUCACCUAGGCGACGAUCCCUAGCUGGUCUGAGAGGAGGACCAGCCACACUGGAACUGAGAAACGGUCCAGACCCCUACGGGAGGCAGCAGUGGGGAAUAUUGCACAAUGGGCGCAAGCCUGAUGCAGCCAUGCCGCGUGUAUGAAGAAGGCCUUCGGGUUGUAAAGUACUUUCAGCGAGGAGGCGUUACUCGCAGAAGAAGCACCGGCUAACUCCGUGCCAGCAGCCGCGGUAAUUC
rnacentral:rRNA from 1 species